GUGCAUCUAUUUGUCAGACCUGAAGCAGUUAACUGUCUGCUUCUAAGGUUUCCAUUACAGAUGAAAGAAAAAAACGUUUCCUUGCACAUUCUGUUUGUCUUAUUUUGGCAGCCAAGAUUAAAUAUUAGAAAACAGAG
rnacentral:snoRNA from 1 species